rnacentral:rRNA from 1 species
ACUCAAAUGAAUUGACGGGGGCCCGCACAAGCGGUGGAGCAUGUGGAUUAAUUCGUCACUAACCGAAGAACCUUACCCAGGCUUGACAUUGAGUGUAAGCCGGUGAAAGCCGGUCCCUCCGCAAGGAGCACGAAAACAGGUGUUGCAUGGCUGUCGUCAGCUCGUGUCGUGAGAUGUUGGGUUAAGUCCCGCAACGAGCGCAACCCUCACCGUAUGUUGCCAGCGUAAAGUCGGGCACUCUUACGGAACUGCCCGUGCAAGCGGGAGGAAGGUGGGGACGACGUCAAGUCGGCAUGGCCCUUACGCCUGGGGCUUCACACAUGCUACAAUGGGCGGCACAGAGGGCAGCCAACCCGCGAGGGGGAGCGAAUCCCACAAAGCCGUCCUCAGUUCGGAUUGCAGGCUGCAACUCGCCUGCAUGAAGCCGGAAUCGCUAGUAACCGCCGGUCAGCUAAACGGCGGUGAAUACGUUCCCGGGCCUUGUACACACCGCCCGU